rnacentral:rRNA from 1 species
UACGGGGGGGCAAGCGUUGUUCGGAAUUCCUGGGCGUAAAGGGCGCGUAGGCGGCCGAUCAAGUCGGGGGUGAAAGCCUGUGGCUCAACCACAGAAUGGCCUUCGAUACUGUUUGGCUUGAGACCGGAAGAGGUCAGUGGAACUGCGAGUGUAGAGGUGAAAUUCGUAGAUAUUCGCAAGAACACCAGUGGCGAAGGCGGCUGACUGGUCCGGUUCUGACGCUGAGGCGCGAAAGCGUGGGGAGCAAACAGG